UUUUUUUUUAACAAAUAUUGGGGGUGUAUUAGGCAGUUAGUUUAUCUGGCUUGUUAAGUGCUAUUCUUUAGGUAUUUUCCUAUUAGUAUGCUAGUCUAUGUGUAUAAAUACCGUGUAUCUUCUUUAGUGAAUAAUACAUACAAUACACAGAGAUUUACUUCA